GUGUGAAAUGCAUGAAAUCAGGAUUAUUGGCCAGGGGCAGGAUUUUAAGCUUUAAAGCUUCUGCAAAGAGAGAUCCAGAAUAUGUUUGUGUUGCCUUGGUGAGGACAAUCUCCCCCACACCACGGUCCCCCACCCUCAACUCCACUCUCAGCACAUAUGUAGGCUACCCUUCCACAGCCUCUUUUUCUCUAGCUCUUGGUUGACCUGACCCAACCAAACACAUUUUAUAGGCUAAUCUGGCAUACGUCAUAUUUUAAAGAUAAUCAGCCAUGAAAGCAGGUUAGACAAAUCUGAUUUAGUUAUGGCUCUACUUUCAGGUUGUUUUGCUCUCCACCUCUUCUCUGUGACAGUAUAGGGCGACUGCACUGUUAUAAUGCGGUGGAUUUAUGAAUUAACACACUAAACUAAUCCCUUACUUUCCAUGUCACCCUCCCUAUCAUAUACCCUCUCAUAUACCCUCUCUUUUAGAUCACUCACAGCCGAAAAUAUUAAUAUGUUAUAUUCAUCCAAUGUCUGCCACAAUUUUGGAUGACGUGAUGAUGUCCCCGCUACUCAUGCUGCUCCCUGUGCGCAUUGAUUGCUAGUGCGCAUGUGAUGUUGGUCCACUUAAACCAGAUGCAACCCGGAUAUAGACAGUCCAUGAAUCGGCGUAAGCGAACGUGAGUAGAUUACCUUGAAAACAACAGUCAGACAUCUUGGACGCAUUCUCCAUUUCUUUAUACCUCAGUGGAUAGAUCAGGUUAGAUACACACAGACCUCGUAGACCGCAUGAGAGAGGAAUGUACACAACACAACAACGAGAGGGAUAGAGACCAUUCGUGAAAGUAUGCCUUAUCUACUUUGAAGAACCAGUAAAAUGAUUUUGUCAGACAGCUAGGCAGGCUAGCCUAGCUAAAUAAGAUUACUAAAGCCAGUAGUACAGUAUGGGGAGCACAGAGAUACCAUUCGAUGGUUGUCUGGCUGGCUGGCUGUUACUGCCUAAGCAGAGAUGAGCUAUGACUAAGGCAGUGGGGUCCCCAGAAAUAAUGGCAAAAAAAAUGGGUCCUGCUGAAAAAGUUUCAAUACCACUGCUUUAAGGAAUUCAAAAUAAUAAAGUCAUCAAAUAAAAACGAAGUAAUAUACACUACUGAAAUAUUGUAUUAUUUCAUAGUAAUUUACUAUUUUUCUAUUGGAUGUCUACCCAAUGUGGACCUGACAGAGACAAUGGAAUAUGUUCAAUGUUUUGGCAAUUAAAGGUUCACUAUUGUGGGGUUUGGAAUUUCCAUUAAAAACUCUAAAAUCAUUUUAAUGCCAUUAUUCCAUAAUGCAUUUAAUUAAUGUAAAAAAAUAUUUAAAUCGGAUAAGAAGAUUAUAUUUUAAUAAUCAAACCAACUUCAAAAAGCACUUAUCGCUCAGCAUGAACCUUCUCUCUUGGCAUGAGAACAUACUGUACAGUACAUCCUCAAACGCAGCACUGGUCUUUGUGUCAGUAGAAGGCCCUUGAACCAGUGUGCAACGAGAGGUCUCAUUUGCUCAAAAGCCAAUAUUCUAACAAAACCUCACAGGCAUAUCGGGGGAAGAGAGUCCACCUCAGCGUAGGUUUCUGGAUUGUCUUUCUAACAAGGGCAUUUGAAAGGGUUUUGGCUCUCUCUGAAUAUAGAUUGGCAACAAAUAUACUUUCUUAAUUAAUCAAUGACUUCAACAAAAAUAAAUUAGUUUGAGAAAUAGUUGUACCUGUUUAGAAAACAGCUUUGUAGACAGCUCUGUCAGUCUGGUCAUGUUGUUGACUCGUCUAAAUGGCAUCUGAGGGCUGGCACCAUCUCAGUAUCCUCCUCAGCAUAUCUGGAGAGAAACACAGAGCAGCAAGCAGCAGAAAGUGGAACGCAACCCCCUGGAACACCUGCCCCCAAAACCCUACCAAAGAGAGGCUGGACCGUUGGACUUGACUACUGCCUAAAGAUACCAUGGGAUGCAGGAGGGAAGGGUUAAUAAAAUUCCCAGAAUCAUAGGUGAUUAGGAACAGUUACUAAACAGUUAUUAACCUUUUUUUUAAAUCUUAUUUGAAAUGUUUUACCUUACACUGACCUAAUUGAAAUUAAUAUCUUGCUUCGGUAGCUCCCCUAAUAAAAACAAUAGUCAAUACAAAUUUAAUGGAGGAACGGAGCCUACAAGACAUCAUUACCACCAAUAGUAGUGGUUAAUCCUCUGUCUUUAGAAGAACCCCUUCAAUAUGUGUGGAUAUACUGGACGCAUACCUGUCUCCCUACUCCUGUAUUCAUCAGUCCAUCGGGGACCCCAGGGAAUCUCAGUUGUCAUGGGGACGUGCCUCCUGCCAGCUGGGCUGUGGGUUUGGCCACU
ensembl:lncRNA